rnacentral:lncRNA from 1 species
GUGAAACAGCUCUUGAGAACUUUCUCAUGUUGUCAGUCUGAAACUCUAUACCUGUUAAACAACAACCUCCACUUUUCCUUUACCCUUUAGUCCCUGGUAACUGUUUUAUUCUGUUUCAUUGAAUUUGAUCGUAGAUAUCUUAUAUAAAUAGAAUCUUAUAGUAUUUGUCUUUUUGGAGUGGCUUAUUUCACUUAGCAUAAUAUUCAAGGUUUAUUCAUGCUGUAACGUGUGAUAGAAUACCCUUUUUUUAUUUUAAUUAUUUUUAUUUUUAGUAGAGAUGGGGUUUUGCCGUGUUGCCAAGGUUGGUCUUGAACUCCUGAGCUCAAGCGAUCAGCCUCCCGAAGUGCUAGGAUUACAGGUGUGAGCCACUGCGCCCGGCCCCAUUCUUUUUUAAGACUGAAUAGUAUUAUAUUGUAUGUAGGUACCACAUUUUUAAAAUCUAUUCCAUCUGUUGAUGGACAUUUGUGUUGCCUUCACCUCUUGGUUAUCAUGAACAAUAUUGUUAUGAGAAUGAAAUAUAUAUUUUUUAAGUUCAAAGAACAUACAAAACUAUUUAUUUUAGUCAUCAGAUAAAAAUAUCCUAAGAAAUUAACAGAAUGCUAAAUAGAAAAUUCAGGGUGAUUGGUCAUUUGGGAGCAGGACUUGAAGGCUGGGGAAUGAAAUGAAGAGAUGUGAUGAUCAGAGUUAUGGCUCUCCAAUUGGCCAGGCACUAAUGACUAUUUAUAAUAUUAUAAUAAAUACAUAUGUAAGCAAAUAACAUAAAUUAAAAAGAAUUAUGCAUGAACCAAUGAAGACAGUGUACCAUAAACCAAAGGUUUUGAUUUAUUCAGUUGUGUUCACCUGAGAUUCAUUAGAAAAACAAACACAGAUGUCUUCUGUGAUGUGUAUCUGUUUGUAUGUGCUCAGGAAAGUGGUGAAUAAUUUGUUCAAUUUAUUUUUUAAUUCAUAAAAUUCAGAGUAUAUUGUUUUUUAUUGUAUUUUCAAUGGAUUUAUUCAGGUAUAAUUGUGCACAUAUGUAAAAUGAACAAUUUCAUCAGUUUUAACAUAUUUAUACACUCAUGAAACCAUCAUUACCAUCAAGAUAAAGAACAUAGCCAUAAUCCCCAAAAGGUUUUUCCUGCUCCAUUCUAAUCCCUCCCUUCUGAUCCUCCCUAUCACCCCAGGCAACCACUGCCAUGUUUCUUGUUCAUAUAGAUUAGUUUGCAUUGUCUAGAAUUUUAUAUAAAUGAAAUAAUAUAUACUUCUUUUGGUCUGGCUUCUUUCACUCAGAAUAGUUAUUCUGAGAUUUAACAAUCUUAUUGUUGCAUGUAUCAAUAGGCCAUUCCUUUUUAUUGGUGGGUAGCGUUCCAUUGUGUGCACAUAGCAGCUUCUUUACCCAUUCACCCUUUUAAUUUAGCCAUUUUAGUAGGUGAGUAAUGGUAUCCCACUGUAGUUUUAAUUUGUGUUUCCCUAAUAACCAAUGAUAGUAAGCAUCUUUUCAUGCGGCUAUUUGCCAUCAGCUUAUCUUCUUUGGUGAAAUGUCUGUUGAAAUUUUAUGAGUUUUUUUCAUCGAGAUAUUUUAUUUUUGAAGUUUGACAGGUCUUUAUGUAUUUUAGGUACAAGUCCUUUAUCAGAUAUGAUUUGCAAGUCUGUAGCCUUUUUAUACUCUUUUUUCUUAUUUCAUGUCACAUGUUAACACCCAUCUUUAUGCUCUCAAUAGUAUAUUUUGAAGAGCAGAAGUUUCAAAUUUUGAUGAAGCCCAAUUUAUCAAUUUAUACUAAUAUGGAUUGUGCUUUUUGGUAUCUUAUUGAAGAAAUCUUUGUCUAACCUAAGGCCACAUACAUUUUCUCCUAUGCUUUCUUCUAAAGGUUUUAUAAUUUUAAUUAUGUUUCCAUCUUUUUCCCUGGGUGUUGGAUUCAAAGUGUGGUAAGAAGAAUUCUAAGAUGGCCCCAAUGAUUUCUGCUCCCUGGCAUUAUGUCUGUGAUUAUAUCAUGGAAUAUUGCAGAAGGGAUUUUGCAAAUGUAAUUAAGGCUACUAAUCAGUUGAUUGUGAGUUAAUAAAAAAUGAGAUUAUCUGGGUGGGCCAAACCCGAUUACCUGAAGUCUUUAAAAGCAGAGCAUUUUCUCCAGCUAGUUGCAGACUAGGAAGUCAGGGAUGUAAAGCAUAAGAUGGACUUGAUGUGCGGUUGCUGGCUUGAAGUUGGAGCGGACCACACAUCAAGGAAAUGAGGACUUAAAUCCUAAACUGCAAAGAACUGAAUUCUGUCAACAAAAGUGAACCUGAAAGCUGAUUCUUCCCCAGAGCCUUUGAUGGGAAUUCAGCCCAGCUGACACCUUGAUGUCCACCUUGUGAUACCUUGGGAAGAAUCCCUGCCCCACCAUGCUGAACUUUUGAUCUACAAAACUGUGAGCUAAUAAAUGGAUGUUGUUUUAAGCAGCUAAGUUUGUGGUAAUGUGUUACACAGCAAUAGAAAACUAACAUACAUGGUUAUCUAUAUUAUUGUAGCUAUAUCUUUUACAUAUGCUGUAAAAAUUCUUUAGUGUGAUUUUAUUUUCUAAUAAACUUUUUCUUAAAAAAAAGAGAAAGCCAGAAAAUAAGUCUCUUGACUUCAGUGGGCCUUCUGAAUAGUGCAGGUGUAAAAAGGGGGAACGGAGGGAGUAUGAAAAGAAUGUAAAGAUUUGCCAUGCUCAAUAAUGAUGAUAUGCAUUCAAGACAUAUCAUGAGUUAUGGGUCAUGCCCAAAGCCUUUUAAUAAUAUGCCUUUUAUUAGAUGACAUAAAGUUACCAGCAAAGAUUAUAACAUUGAGCCAAGAAUGCAUACUAGUAUUUAUGGAGGCCCAGAAUUUGGAAAAUGAUUCAGUCCUGUUUAUUCUAUGUAAUGAUGUUAUUUUUGUACUAAACAUGAGGGUUGUAAAGGGAUUCUAUAUGUUAGUUUAAAUGUGUAAAUAUUUCUCUUAUAGCAUCCUUAUGUACACUGACCAUGAACAUUUUAUUUUAUGGUGGGCUUGAAUUAAAUCCAUUACAAUCAAAGAAGGCAUCUGAACCUGGAGUGAGGCUGGCAUGGCUGCUAGCAUCCUGAAUCCAUCAGGCACGGAAUUGCCACGAGUAAUAUGAGUGAAAUAAGGACAUAAAACCCUGGGGCCUUAAGAAGGCAACUCCACUGACUCCAAAAAAACAUUUUAACAGAUGUUAUAUGCAUGGCACCAAAUAAAUAAGACCUGAUUGCCUAAGACACAGUUCUGGAAUCUGCAGUGGGAUCAAUGAG